rnacentral:lncRNA from 1 species
UCAACAUAAGCCGCCCACACAUUCUCAGAUCCAUCUCUCUCAUUUCAAAAGUAACUAAUAAAAAAAGAGAGAGAAAGUGGUAGCAAGGAAAGAACGCACCAUCAUGAAAAUGUUCUUCUGCGUUUCCAGCAUGUAAAUCCCUUCCCACCUCUCAUCAUUUUUCUAGCACACACUUUCCUACUAACACCAUCCCUCUCAAUCUCUUAUUCACCUUCAUCCUCCCUCACAGUCGCAGUAUCAUACUACUACAACAAACCACCACUUCCAUUCAUUUUUCAACACUAUACUCCCUGCAUCAACGUAACAACCAUUAACCUCUCAUUUUCACUUUUUCAUCCACCAAAACAACGACCGUCUUCUCCUUUCUUUUCAUGCACAUCUUUCACAAACCGUGAUCCUCUUUUUCCAAAGCAUCACACAACACACUCCAUAUCUCCACCUCCCUUCAACACCACCAUGGAUCCACCCUUCUUACAACCUUGUCCUCCACCGAUCAACCUCCAACCACCAUACUGCAACCACAAUAAACUUAUCGACCACCUCCAUUCCCUUACACGUGAAACCGAAAUAGCCACCACCUCCAACAAACUUCCGACUGGCCAAACCUCACCUCUAUUAUUGCACCAAACCCAAACUACUUCGAUUGCUUGUACUUUGAAUUUCACUUUCUAUCUGUGUAUUUGGUUUUGUAAGUUGUUUAUUCUGUUUACAGGUGUGAUACGAUGCCGAGUUCGGUUUUGUGAGUUUAGCAAGCUGAGUGGUCGGGUUCAUCUUUAAUGUUGCGUACGGGAUUAUGACUCAAUGAAUACGCCGGUCCGCUAAAUGUUAAGACACUAUGUUGUUGUGAUUAAUUUGUGUCAUCAGUUCCGUUACGGUAACACUUUACUUCAUUUUCGGCUUUCAAAUUUGUAAUCACUGUAUCUUCGUUCUAUUUGUGGUGGAUUUUGGUUUUAAUGUUGUAAGUGUAUUUGCAUAAAUGUUAAUCGGUUGCUUUUUCAUUGCGUUACGAUGUCGGGAGUUCGAUCUCGGUUUCACUCUUGAAUUCAUAUUGAACACACAUAUUAUAUUGGUUGCGUGGGAGUGUUUUUAUUCUGUAUUGACGAUGGAAUGUUGUAAAUAGUUUUUGUAAGGAUCAAUAAGACUCUCAUAGGUCAUGAUCGGACUAUAAGGUCAAUCAACGCAAGGAUAGAGGAGACUCUAACAUGUCACUCUCAAACUCAGAGAGUUAUUUAUCUUUUUCUGAUCAUCACGUGAAGAUUUAAGCAAAAAUUAUUCAUAGACAUUUGGAAUGCAAUGAAUAAUUCAUCUUUAAGCAAAGAGAUUUCAAAUGUCUUUUCAAAGGGAUUAACAUAUCAAGUAACAUUGCAACGUCUCUGAUCAAACUUCUCCAAGACUCACUUGUACUCUUAAGAGACUCUUUUAUAUUUCUCUAUAUAAGGAGCUGAAGACUUGAAGAAAUAAAAAUGAACUAUUGACAAUAAAAGAGUUGUUACUCUGUCAAACAAAAAACAAAAGUUUAAUUUAAAAUUUCUUAACAGUUGUAUAUUUUAGAAAUUCUUAAGUCUUAAAAU